rnacentral:rRNA from 1 species
GAUCCUGGCUCAGGACGAACGCUGGCGGCGUGCUUAACACAUGCAAGUCGAACGUGAUUUUUGUGGAAAUUCUUUCGGGAAUGGAAAUGAAAUGAAAGUGGCGAACGGGUGAGUAACACGUGAGCAACCUACCUUACACAGGGGGAUAGCCGUUGGAAACGACGAUUAAUACCGCAUGAGACCACAGAAUCGCAUGAUAUAGGGGUCAAAGAUUUAUCGGUGUAAGAAGGGCUCGCGUCUGAUUAGCUAGUUGGAAGGGUAAAGGCCUACCAAGGCGACGAUCAGUAGCCGGUCUGAGAGGAUGAACGGCCACAUUGGAACUGAGACACGGUCCAAACUCCUACGGGAGGCAGCAGUGGGGAAUAUUGCACAAUGGGGGGAACCCUGAUGCAGCGACGCCGCGUGAGCGAAGAAGGUUUUCGAAUCGUAAAGCUCUGUCCUAUGAGAAGAUAAUGACGGUAUCAUAGGAGGAAGCCCCGGCUAAAUACGUGCCAGCAGCCGCGGUAAUACGUAUGGGGCGAGCGUUGUCCGGAAUUAUUGGGCGUAAAGGGUACGUAGGCGGUUUUUUAAGUCAGGUGUGAAAGCGUGAGGCUUAACCUCAUUAAGCACUUGAAACUGGAAGACUUGAGUGAAGGAGAGGAAAGUGGAAUUCCUAGUGUAGCGGUGAAAUGCGUAGAUAUUAGGAGGAAUACCGGUGGCGAAGGCGACUUUCUGGACUUUUACUGACGCUCAGGUACGAAAGCGUGGGGAGCAAACAGGAUUAGAUACCCUGGUAGUCCACGCCGUAAAC